AACAAGGUCUCCGUUGGUGAACCAGCGGAGGGAUCAUUAUCGAGUUAUUCAACUCCCAAACCCUAUGUGAACUUACCACUUGUUGCUUCGGCGCGCGCUUCGGCGCCGCCGAGGACACUUAAACUCUUUGUUUUUAUAAGCAUUUCUGAGUGGCCGAAAGGCAAAAAUACAAAUGAAUCAAAACUUUCAACAACGGAUCUCUUGGUUCUGGCAUCGAUGAAGAACGCAGCGAAAUGCGAUAAGUAAUGUGAAUUGCAGAAUUCAGUGAAUCAUCGAAUCUUUGAACGCACAUUGCGCCCGCCAGCAUUCUGGCGGGCAUGCCUGUUCGAGCGUCAUUUCAACCCUCGAGCCCGACUCUUUUGAGGACGGCUCGGCGUUGGGGGACGGCAGACUCCCCCCGGCAUCUCGCCGGGGACGCCGCCCCCGAAAUCUAGUGGCGGCCCUCCGAGGCGACCUCUGCGUAGUAACUUGUUCUCGCACCGGAAAGCUCAGAGCGGCCACGCCGUAAAACCCCAACUUUUUCCAGGUUGACCUCGAAUCAGGUAGGACUACCCGCUGAACUUAAGCAUAUCAAUA
rnacentral:rRNA from 1 species